rnacentral:rRNA from 1 species
UAGGGAAUCUUCCGCAAUGGGCGAAAGCCUGACGGAGCAACGCCGCGUGAGUGAUGAAGGUCUUCGGAUCGUAAAACUCUGUUAUUAGGGAAGAACAAAUGUGUAAGUAACUAUGCACGUCUUGACGGUACUUAACCAGAAAGGGACGGCUAACUACGUGCCAGCAGCCGCGGUAAUACGUAGGUCCCGAGCGUUGUCCGGAUUUAUUGGGCGUAAAGCGAGCGCAGGCGGUUAGAAAAGUCUGAAGUGAAAGGCAGUGGCUCAACCAUUGUAGGCUUUGGAAACUGUUUAACUUGAGUGCAGAAGGGGAGAGUGGAAUUCCAUGUGUAGCGGUGAAAUGCGUAGAUAUAUGGAGGAACACCGGUGGCGAAAGCGGCUCUCUGGUCUGUAACUGACGCUGAGGCUCGAAAGCGUGGGGAGCGAACAGG